ACUGCUCAGUAACACGUGGACAACCUACCCUGAAGAGGGGGAUAACCCCGGGAAACUGGGGAUAAUACCCCAUAGACUAUGGAUGCUGGAAUGCUCUGUAGUUCAAAGGUCCGCCGCUUCAGGAUGGGUCUGCGGCCGAUUAGGUUGUUGUUGGGGUAACGGCCCAACAAGCCUGUAAUCGGUACGGGUUGUGGGAGCAAGAGCCCGGAGAUGGAUUCUGAGACACGAAUCCAGGCCCUACGGGGCGCAGCAGGCGCGAAAACUUUGCAAUGCGAGAAAUCGUGACAAGGGAACUCCGAGUGCCUGUAAAAUCAGGCUGUCCGCCAGUGUAACAACUGGUGAAGAAAGGGCCGGGCAAGACCGGUGCCAGCCGCCGCGGUAAUACCGGCGGCUCGAGUGGUGGCCACUAUUACUGGGCUUAAAGCGUUCGUAGCUGGUCUGUUAAGUCUCUGGGGAAAUCUUCCGGCUUAACCGGAAGGCGUCUCAGGGAUACUGGCAGACUAGGGACCGGAAGAGGUGAGAGGUACUCCAGGGGUAGGAGUGAAAUCCUGUAAUCCUUGGGGGACCACCUGUGGCGAAGGCGUCUCACCAGGACGGCUCCGACAGUGAGGAACGAAAGCUGGGGGAGCAAACCGGAUUAGAUACCCGGGUAGUCCCAGCUGUAAACGAUGCGCGUUAGGUGUAUCGGUGACCACGAGUCACCGAGGUGCCGAAGAGAAAUCGUGAAACGCGCCGCCUGGGAAGUACGGUCGCAAGGCUGAAACUUAAAGGAAUUGGCGGGGGAGCCAC
rnacentral:rRNA from 1 species